CGCCUGUGCACAGCUUGCCACUGGCGCUGCCUGCCGCCUGGUGGAGGCUGUGCUCUCAGGAGAGGUUCUGAAUGGUGCUGCUGUGGUGCGUCCCCCAGGACACCACGCAGAGCAGGAUGCAGCUUGCGGUUUUUGCUUUUUCAACUCUGUGGCUGUGGCUGCUCGCCAUGCCCAGGCUAUCAGUGGGCAUGCCCUACGGAUCCUGAUUGUGGAUUGGGAUGUCCACCACGGUAAUGGAACUCAGCACAUGUUUGAGGAUGACCCCAGGUAAGGGCUGCAGUCAGGGGCCGCAGUGUGAUCAGGGAGGCGGGUGAGCACCUCAGGGGUACUGGAGCCCCUAACCAGCCAUGGUCCGCUUCCCACCCCCUCCCUGGCAGUGUGCUAUAUGUGUCCCUGCACCGCUAUGAUCAUGGCACCUUCUUCCCCAUGGGGGAUGAGGGUGCCAGCAGCCAGAUCGGCCGGGCUGCGGGCACAGGCUUCACCGUCAACGUGGCAUGGAACGGGCCCCGCAUGGGUGACGCUGACUACCUAGCUGCCUGGCAUCGCCUGGUGCUUCCCAUUGCCUACGAGUUUAACCCAGAACUGGUGCUGGUCUCAGCUGGCUUUGAUGCUGCACGGGGGGACCCGCUGGGGGGCUGCCAGGUGUCACCUGAGGGUUAUGCCCACCU
rnacentral:sRNA from 1 species